rnacentral:lncRNA from 10 species
AAACACUUUGAGCACUGAAGGUCCGCAGGCCUCCGCAAUCACUGAGCAUUUGAGACUCCUCUGGGGCCAUGCAUCCACCAGCUCUCAGCGCAGAAAUUCUGAUGUCAUAUUUUGGGAGAGGAAAUAAAAUCAGGAGUGACUUUUUAGCCCUGUGUAGAGGAGAGCCAUAAAUUUAAUUAUGUAAUGGCACUGACCUUUUGAGAGCUUCUGAGGGCUAAAGUCUACAUUGAUCAUCAGCAGGUGAAGGAGGAGAAACAAGCGAGUGAGAUCCGGGGAUCAGCUUCAUGAAGAUGGGUGGCACUGUCUGAAGAGCUUUCAAAGAUCUUCCCUGAAUGUGGGCAGCUGCGGACUUCAUGUUUCUUCUCCACGCAUCAGAGCAGCGGUCCUCAGCCGAGCAUGCUCCAGGCCAGCAACUGCACUGUCCCUGGGAAACUGUUAGAAGUGCAGACCCCCAGGCCCCACCCAGACACUCCAUGGUUGGCCCAGACACCAGUGUUUUCACAGGAGCCCCAGGGGACGCCGAUGCAGCUGAAGUUUGAGAACUACAGUGUCAGAGAAUUAAAAUAUAGGGAAAACUAGGACUAGAGUUAUCUUUCCCCAUUUCUGAUCAUUCCCAUCAUGGGGAGGGUUUUCCAUAACCUGGGUGACCAAAUUCUCCGGAUUCGCCUGGGACUGCCCAAGUUUCAGAACUGAAAGUGCUGCCUCCUGGAAACCACCUCUUUCCUAGACAAACCAGGGUGCUGCUCACUCUAGCCACAUGGGUAAAGCACCAGGCCUCCCUCCACGUUCUCAGUCACUUCUCUUGUGGGAUUUAUCUGAUUGGAGUGAUAUAAGAGUUAAGAAUAAAUUAUACAGGCAGACAGUGAGGGUAAGGAAGUCCUCGGUAAGGUUUUCCUUUUAAUGAAAAGCAGCCCCCAUAUCAUUUUCUUUUCUAACAAAGAGCAGCCUGUAAAAUUGAGCUGCAGACAUAGACACGCAAGCUCGAAGCUUUCACAGGUGAAUGCUAGCAGCCGUGCCAUUAGGAAAAGGCUACCUGAGACUAGGCAUGAUCAAAAUGGUGGCUUCAUCUUCCCUUCUCUUUGCCAGCCACUUGUGCAGUAGGGAGCAGAAAACAUGGUGCCGGCCAAGUGGAAGGCUCCAUUGCAUAAUACGAUUAGAGUGUGGUGGCCAGCUUCUCCACUCACUAUGUAAACGUCACACCUGGUCCAACCAAUCUGUGGGCCCUAUGUAAAUCAGACACCACCUCCUCAAGCCUGCCUAUAAAAUCCGAUUCCCAUUCGGCAUCUAUCUCUUUCCAUUCUCGCAUCUGUCUCUCUCUCUGUCUCUCUCUUUCUCUCUCUCUCUCUCUCUCUCUCUCCCUUAAAACAUUAUGAUUUUUUUUUUGCAAUUUUUUCUUAGAGAGAGAGUUGUUCUCCUAUCUCUUUCUUUUGCCUAUUAAGCCUCCACUCUUAACUCCUUUCUCUUUCUUUUGCCUAUUUAAACCUCUGCUCUUUUUUGUUUUGUUUUGUUUUGAGACAGAGUCUCACGCUCUCGCCCAGGCUGGAGUGCAGUGGCAUGAUCUCGG